AAAGAUGAACAAAGCUUGACUGCUUAAAACAAAGUAGAAGCUUUUGCUCUUACUCAAUAACAACUUGAUAAGUAUCCAAGUUGUUUGUUCAAGCUUUAAUUUUUUAAUUUUUUUAAACACUUAUCAAGUUGUUGUUGAGUAAGAAUAGAAGCUCUGCUUUUUUGUAACAGCCAACCUUUGUCCAUUAAAGAUUGUACAAGUUUUGCUAAGGGGAGGGAUCGGUGAAGUUUGGUAGUAUCAUAAUGGCAUUUAAUAUAUCGAAGUUUGGUAAUACCAGUGGUCAAAGUCAACAGCUUGGAGCAGUCGCAAUCCAACCGCGGUGACGAGAUCCCCACUAGGAAGACCAGACCUGCUGUUGAAAUAUGUGUUUGCACAGUGCAAUGGAUGCACAUAUGGCCAACAAAACUGCAGAAUUAUUGGAACACAAAAAGACUUGUCAGUUAAAAUCACUACUUUAUAUAUCCGUACGUCCAAGUUCAUCGCCAUACAUAUAUGUGCAUGCAGUAGAGGAAGCAUUCCGUGCACAGUAGUAGUAGUUGUCUCUUCUCUUUUAAGAUACAUCAAUGUACGUACAGGCGUAGCUUUAUAAAUUAUUUAUCAAUGAUAACUGUAAAUAUCUGCCGACUAAUAACUAGUGCACCUCUGCAAUUGGACUGCAUUGAUUUUGUGCGGUGAUCAGUGAGUGUGGGGGGUUGCGAUUAGAUACCCUGUUGUUGUCAUUUUACGGACACAUAUACAUACACUGAUACAAAACCCGAUCAAACAGAGGAUGUGAGGACAAAAAACAAAAGACUGGGAAGGUGACUUGACAGGUUGAUCGCGAUCAAGAAAACAUACGAGGGUCCACUGGCACCGUUUCAUUUAUCCUUCCAUCCGUCCAAACAUCCAUUCAUUUAUUGGGAUGUAUACUUAAUUAAUUAAAAAGUCAAAUAUUUAUUUGACCAUCUGACCAGAGCCAGACCCUGACCUUGCGUAGACUUUCUGACAAACCAUUUAAUGUUGGUGUCUGGGUUGAAAGACCUGCGAGCAACCAAAUUAAGGAGGCCGGGGAUCGACAUCGAUCUUCUAGCUUUUCUCGGAACCCUAGUAAGUAUUAAGAAAGUACUGGAGGGAGCGAUCGAUGGCAUCUUUCUGUUGUUUGUUUUGUCUUUCUCACUGUUCAUUGAUGCCUUUUGUUCGUUUAUUUUUUCUUGUGUCUUUUUUUUUCCCUUACGUUUGACAUAAUUUCCAAAAUAAUAUAUGCAGGCAGGAUACCCGUGAGUUUCAUAAACAGCCGUUCACGUUUAUGUUAGGAUAUUUUUUGAUAUUUUAUGGAUUAGGGGUUUUCUACUAUAAUGAAUGUGAUAUCUGUCGAGCCAAAAAUAAUCAUAAAGCGAUACG
rnacentral:lncRNA from 1 species